GUCUAUGGCCAUGCCACCCUGAACAAGCCUGAUGUCUGAUCUCAGAAGCUAAGCAGGGUUGGGCCUGGUUAGUACUUCGAUGGGAGACCAUCUAGGAAGACCAGGUACUGUAGGCA
rnacentral:rRNA from 1 species